GGAGAGUUGGCAGAGCGGCUGAUUGCACUCCCCUGCUAAGGGAGACUGUACUAAUAGUGCAGCGAGGGUUCGAACCCCUCACUCUCCGCCA
rnacentral:tRNA from 2 species